CAGCAGCCGCGGCAAUACCGGCGGCCCGAGUGGCGGUCACUAUUAUUGGGCUUAAAGCGUCCGUAGCCGGGUUGGGAAGUCCUCCGGGAAAUCUGGCCGCUUAACGGUCAGAAUGCCGGAGGAUACUCCCAGCCUAGGGAGCGGGAGAGGCCGAGGGGAUUCCCGGAGGAGGGGGGAAAUCCUAUAAUCCCGGGAGGACCACCUGUGGCGAAGGCGCUCGGCUGGAACGCGUCCGACGGUGAGGGACGAAGGCCAGGGGAGCAAACCGGAUUAGAUACCCGGGUAGUCCUGGCGGUAAACGAUGCGGACUUUGUGUCGGACAAGCUAUGAGCUUGUCCGGUGCCGGAGGGAAACCGUUAAGUCCGCCGCCUGGGGAGUACGGCCGCAAGGCUGAAACUUAAAGGAAUUGGCGGG
rnacentral:rRNA from 1 species